rnacentral:rRNA from 1 species
AAGUAAAAGUCGUAACAAGGUUUCCGUAGGUGAACCUGCGGAAGGAUCAUUAUUGAAACAUUGUAAAGGAAGGUUGAGCUGGCUCUUCACGGGCAUGUGCUCACCUUUCUUUCAAUCUUCAUCCACCUGUGCACUUUUUGUAGGGAGCUUUGAGAAUAGACCUCUCGGGGUCUUAGUAUUGGGCUCUCUAUGUCUUCACACACUCUUGAAUGUAUGUCGUUGAAUGUCUUUUACAGGGACUUAAUUGACCCUUUAAAAACUAUACAACUUUCAGCAACGGAUCUCUUGGCUCUCGCAUCGAUGAAGAACGCAGCGAAAUGCGAUAAGUAAUGUGAAUUGCAGAAUUCAGUGAAUCAUCGAAUCUUUGAACGCACCUUGCGCCUCUUGGUAUUCCGAGAGGCAUGCCUGUUUGAGUGUCAUUAAAUUCUCAACUUCAAAAGCUUUUGUUUUUGAAGCUUGGAUGUGGAGGUUUUGCUGGCUCUUCUAGAGUCGGCUCCUCUGAAAUGCAUUAGUGGAAACUGUUUGCAGUCCGCAUUGGUGUGAUAAUUAUCUACGCUUGUGUGUGGUUGCAGCUCUUUACGAGUUUAGUAUCCGCUUCAAACCGUCCUAAGUUACUGGACAACUUUGAACCUUUUGACCUCAAAUCAGGUAGGACUACCCGCUGAACUUAAGCAUAUCAUAU